rnacentral:rRNA from 1 species
GUCCACGCCGUAAACGGUGGGUGCUAGGUGUGGGAGACUAUCUACGUUUUCCGCGCCGCAGCUAACGCAUUAAGCACCCCGCCUGGGGAGUACGGCCGCAAGGCUAAAACUCAAAGGAAUUGACGGGGGCCCGCACAAGCGGCGGAGCAUGCGGCUUAAUUCGAUGCAACGCGAAGAACCUUACCUAGGCUUGACAUAUACGGGAAGCAGGCAGAGAUGUCUGUGCCUUCGGGCUCGUAUACAGGUGGUGCAUGGCUGUCGU